rnacentral:rRNA from 1 species
CCUACGGGAGGCAGCAGUGAGGAAUAUUGGUCAAUGGACGAGAGUCUGAACCAGCCAAGUAGCGUGAAGGAUGACUGCCCUAUGGGUUGUAACCUUCUUUUAUAUGGGAAUAAAACGUUCCACGUGUGGGAUAUUGUAUGUACCAUAUGAAUAAGGCUCGGCUAACUCCGUGCCAGCAGCCGCGGUAAUACGGAGGAUCCGAGCGUUAUCCGGAUUUAUUGGGUUUAAAGGGAGCGUAGGUGGAUUGUUAAGUCAGUUGUGAAAGCUUGCGGCUCAACCGUAAAAUUGCAGUUGAAACUGGCAGUCUUGAGUACAGGAGAGGUGGGUGGAAUUCGUGGUGUAGCGGUGAAAUGCUUAGAUAUCACGAAGAACACCGAUUGCGAAGGCAGUUCACUGGACUACAACUGACACUGAGGCUCGAAAGUGUGGGGAUCGAACAGGAUUAGAUACCCCGGUAGUC